rnacentral:tRNA from 1 species
UAGCUCACUGGUUAAGAGCACUGGCUACAUUUCCAGAGGACCUGGGUUCAAGUCCCAG